rnacentral:rRNA from 1 species
UGAAGCUGGAUUCGCUAGUAAUCGCGCAUCAGCCACGGCGCGGUGAAUACGUUCCCGGGCCUUGUGCACACCGCCCGUCAAGCCAUGGGAGCCGGGGGUGCCUGAAGGCCGUGACCGCGAGGAGCGGCCUAGGGUAAAACUGGUGACUGGGGCUAAGUCGUAACAAGGUACC